rnacentral:rRNA from 1 species
GAUGAACGCUGGCGGCGUGCCUAAUACAUGCAAGUCGAGCGAACAGACGAGGAGCUUGCUCCUUCGACGUUAGCGGCGGACGGGUGAGUAACACGUAGGUAACCUACCUAUAAGACUGGGAUAACUUCGGGAAACCGGAGCUAAUACCGGAUAAUAUUUCGAACCGCAUGGUUCGAUAGUGAAAGAUGGCUUUGCUAUCACUUAUAGAUGGACCUGCGCCGUAUUAGCUAGUUGGUAAGGUAACGGCUUACCAAGGCAACGAUACGUAGCCGACCUGAGAGGGUGAUCGGCCACACUGGAACUGAGACACGGUCCAGACUCCUACGGGAGGCAGCAGUAGGGAAUCUUCCGCAAUGGGCGAAAGCCUGACGGAGCAACGCCGCGUGAGUGAUGAAGGUCUUCGGAUCGUAAAACUCUGUUAUUAGGGAGAACAAACGUGUAAGUAACUGUGCACGUCUUGACGGUACCUAAUCAGAAAGCCACGGCUAACUACGUG